CCUACGGGAGGCAGCAGUGGGGAAUUUUGGACAAUGGGCGAAAGCCUGAUCCAGCAAUGCCGCGUGUGUGAUGAAGGCCUUCGGGUUGUAAAGCACUCUUGGCGGGAACGAAAGGGACUGUGCCAAUACCACGGUUCGAUGACGGUACCCGCAGAAUAAGCACCGGCUAACUACGUGCCAGCAGCCGCGGUAAUACGUAGGGUGCAAGCGUUAAUCGGAAUUACUGGGCGUAAAGAGUGCGCAGGCGGUUUUGCAAGACCGAUGUGAAAUCCCCGGGCUUAACCUGGGAACUGCAUUGGUGACUGCAAGGCUAGAGUGUGUCAGAGGGAGGUGGAAUUCCGCAUGUAGCAGUGAAAUGCGUAGAUAUGCGGAGGAACACCGAUGGCGAAGGCAGCCUCCUGGGAUAACACUGACGCUCAUGCACGAAAGCGUGGGGAGCAAACAGGAUUAGAUACCCUGGUAGUCCACGCCCUAAACGAUGUCUACUAGUUGUCGGGGAUUAAUUUCCUUGGUAACGCAGCUAACGCGUGAAGUAGACCGCCUGGGGAGUACGGUCGCAAGAUUAAAACUCAAAGGAAUUGACGG
rnacentral:rRNA from 1 species